GUGUGUAUUGGCUGUGACGUGCUGCCGCCUCUCUGGAGACCGGGUUCAUUAUACUUUUCCUGGUAUCUUCUCAUGUUUGCUCUGCUGGCUUUGGGCCCGAGUUUUACCUCCUGGGUGUAUUGUGUGUGCCUGUUUUGUGGUGUUGGUUUUGCUCCUGGGUUUGUUGACCCUUGGGUGUCUGCUCUUUUUUUUUUUUUUUUUUUUUUUUGGGACAGAGUCUCACGCUGUCACCCAGGCUGGAGUGCAGUGACCUGAUCUUGGCUCACUGCAGCCUCUACCUCCUGGGUACAAGCGAUUCUUCUGCCUCGGCCUCCUGAAUAGCUGGGAUUACAGGUGCCUGCCACGGCUAAUUUUUUUACUUUUAGUAGAGAUGGGGUUUUGCCAUGUUGGCUAGGCUGGUCUUGAACUCUUAACCUCAGGUGAUCUGCCCACCUCCGCCUCCCAAAGUGCUAGGAUUUAUAGGCAUGAGUCACCGUAUCCAGCAUUUUUUGCUUGUUUGUUUGUUUUGAGACGGAGUCUCGCUGUGUCACCCAGGCUGGAGUGCAGCGGUGUGAUCUCGGCUCACUGCAAGCUCCGCCUCCCAGGUUCACACCAUCCUCCUGCCUCAGCCUCCUGAGUUGAGUAUCUGGGACUGCAGGCGCCCGCCACCACGCCCGGCUAAUUUUUUUGUAUUUUUUAGUAGAGACGGGGUUUCACCGUGUUAGCCAGGAUGGUCUCCGAUCUCCUGACCCGGUGAUCCACCUGCCUCGGCCUCCCGAAGUGCUGGGAUUACAGGCGUGAGCCACCGCACCUGGCCAGCUCUAGCUGGUUUUACGGGUGAAUUUUUACCAAACAUUCAUGGAACAGAAAAAUCCGUGUCUUGAAAUUUUCACAGAAGGCUAGCAUGAUCUCAACUCCAAAAUGAAAAUUAAGACACAUCUGUUUCAUGACUGUAGAUGUAGAAAGCCUAGAUAAACUAUUAAUAAAUUGAAGUCAGCUGCAUAUAAGAAAUGUCAGACCUCAUGAUCACGUAGGGGUUAUAUCAGAAUUUCAAUGUCAGGAAACUAACUAAUGUUAUCUGCAUGUUACAUUAAGAGUAAAGGAGGCUGGGCGUGGUGGCUCACGCCUGUAAUCCCAGCACUUUGGGAGGCCGAGGCAGGCGGAUCACCUGAGCUCAGGAGUUCAAGACCAGCCUGGCCAACAUGGUGAAACCCCGUCUCUAGUAAAAAUACAAAAAUUAGCCCGGCAUCAUGGAGUGUGCCUGUAGUCCCAGCUACUCAGGAGGCUGACGCGGGACCCUCGCCUGAACCUGGGAGGUAGAGGUUGCGGUGAGCCAAGAUCGCACCAUUGCAUUCCAGCCUGGGCACGAAGCGAGACUCCGUCAAAAAAAAAAAAAAAAAUUAAAGAAUAAAAUUUCUGCAGGCAUCUCAACAGCUACAGAAACAGCAUUUUGUGCAAUUCAAUACUGAUUUGCAGGGGCCAGGGGUCAUGGCUCAUGCCUGCAAUCCCAGCACUUUGGGAGACCAAGGCAGGUGGAUCCCUUGGGCUCAAGAGUUCAAGAUCAGCCUGGGCAAUGUAGCAAAACCCCAUCUAAAAAAAUAAGAAAAUAUUAGGCAAGCAUGGUGCAUAUGUGCACAGGGCGCACACCUGUGGUCCCAGCUACUGGGGGUCUGAGGUGGGAGGAUUGCUUGAGCCCAGGAGGUUGAGGCUACAGUGAGCCGUGAUGGUGGCCCUGGACUCCAGCCUGGGCAACAGAGUGCAACCCCGUCUCAAAAAAGAAAAAUACUCAUUUGCAACUUUUAUUUUUUUAAUUAAAAAAAAAUUUAAUUUAUUUAUAUUUUUGGGGACAGAGUCUCGCUAUGUCACCCAGGCUGCAGUGCGAUGGCAUGAUCUCAGCUCACUGCAACCUCCACCUUCUGAGUUCAAGUGAUUCUCCUGCCUCAGCCUCCUGAAUAGCUGGAAUUACAGGUGACCGCCACCAUGCCUGGCUAAUUUUUGUAUUUUUAGUAGAGACGGGGAUUCACCAUGUUGGCCAGGCUGGUCUCGAACUCCUGACCUCGUGAUCCACCCAUCUCAACCUCCCAAAGUGCUGGGGUUACAGGAGUGAGCCACCGUGCCUGGCCUCAUUUGCAAUUUUUAAAAAUUGCUUUGCAAUGCCGGGCGCGGUGGCUUACGCCUGUAAUCUCAGCACUUUGGGAGGCCGAGGUGGGCACAUCAUGAGGUCAGAUCGAGACGAUCCCGGCUAACACGGUGAAACCCCAUCUCUACUAAAAAUACAAAAAAAAAAAUAGCUGGGCAUGGCGGCGUGUGCCUAUUAUCCCAGCUGCUGGGGAGGCUGAAGCAGGAGAAUGGCGUGAACCCGGGAGGCGGAGCUUGCAGUAAGCUGAGAUCGCGCCACCGCACCCCAGCCUGGGUGACAGAGCAAGACUCCAUCUCAAAAAAAAAAAAAAUUGCUUUGCAACCUAGUAGUAGAAGAACAAUUCCUUGAUCUGAUAAAGAGCAUUCCCUUAACAAGAUAUAGCAAAAUUUAAAACCCGUGAAUUAUAGAAAAGAUACACAUUUGAUUAUAUAAUAUUUUUAAAAAUAUGCAUGGCACAAGACUCUAUAAACAAAUAUACACAAUGGAAGCCAUGGUGGGAGGUAUCGGCCAGGGCCACGUCUGAGUCCUUGGCAGAGCUGGGUCACGCAGUGAAGAGCUGGGAGGGGCCUGGACAGGGCAGCAGUGGGUCAGGUUUGGGCUUAAAGAAGACGUCCCAGCUGGUGGUUCUUCAAACAAUUAAACAUACAGUGGCCGUGCAACCCAGCAAUGCCACUCCUAGGUGAGGACCCAAGAUAAAUGAAGACGUCCGGCCAGGCGCAUUGGCUCACACCUGUAAUCCCAGCACUUUGGGAGCCUUAGACAGAUGGAUCACUUUCAGCUCAGGAAUUAAAGACCAGCCUGGGCAACACAGGGAGACCCUGUCUCGUUAAAAAAUACAAAAAUUGCCAGGCGUGGUGGCUCAUGCCUGUAAUCCCAGCACUUUGGGAGGCCGAGGCAGGCGGAUCACCUGAGGUCAGUAGUUUGAGACCAGCCUGAUGAACAUGGUGAAACCCCGUCUCUACUAGAAAUAGAAAAAUUAGCUGGACGUGGUGACUAACACCUGUAAUCCCAGCUACUCAGGAGGCUGAGGCAGAAGCGCUUGAACCUGGGAAGCGGAGGUUGCAGUGAGCCGAGAUCACGCCAUUGCACUCCAGCCUGGGCAACAAGAUGAAACUCCAUCUCAAAAAAAAAAAAAAAAAUUAGCUGGGCAUCGUUGUCUUGUGCCUGCGGUGCCAGCUAUUCUGGAGGCUGAGAUUGGAGAAUCAUUUGUGCCCAGUGAAGCAGAGGUGGCAGUGAGCCAAGAUCAUGCCACUGCGCUCCAGCUUGGGUGACAGAGUGAGACUCUGUCUCAAAAAAAAAAAGAGUCUACAUAAAACAUUGUGCGCGCCUGUGCAUAGCAGCACAUCCAUAAUCACAGAGAGGCGGAAACAGCUGUGUCCAUCAACAGAGGUUGGUCACACAGGGGGUCCUGUGCCCAAUGCAGUGGACUCUUGGGCCUUAGAAUGAAGUUCUGAUCCACACGGCAGCACCGACGGACCUUGGGCACUGUGCUGUGUGAAAUAAGCAGACAGAUGCUGUGUGGCAGCACUUACAGGGGCAUCCUGAGCGACUUUGUGGAGACAGCUCUUAGGGCUGGGGAGGGAGGGAUGCGGGAAGGGGGCGGGAGCUGGAGGGUGGAGGGCUCUUUCUGAGAUGAGGAAAUGAUCUAAAACUGCCUGCGGUGACGGCUGCACAGCUCUGAAGAUGCAGAAACUCGCUGAGCUGGACGCAUUCUGAAUUGUGUGGUAUGUGAAUUAUGUCUCAGUAAAGCCAUUAAAAAAAAACACCCAGGAGCCAGGCGCAGUGGCUCAUGCCUAUAAUCCCAGCACUUUGGGAGGCGGAGGCAGGCGGAUCAUCUGAGGUCAGGAGUUGGAGACCAGCCUGACCAACAUGGUGUAACCUCGUCUCUGCUAAAAUACAAAAAUUAGCUGGGUGUUGUGGCGGGCACCUUUAAUCCUGGCUACUUGGGAGGCUGAGGCAGGAGAAUUGCUUGAACCUGGGAACGGGAGGUUGCAGUGAGCCAAGAUCGCGCCAUUGCACUCCAGCCUGGGCGACAGAGCGAGACUCCGUCUCAAAAAAACAAAACAAAACAAAACAGCCAGGCAACCAAGUAGACAAUGGAGGGAGGGGGUGACAGCUGAGGACGCCCAUUGUCUGCUGGUGCUCCAGGCGGUGCUCCCCACUCCCAGCCCAGUCGCCCCCUGCUCCUGGCCUGGAUUUGAGGCCUAGAGAGACACCUGCCCUCCCCCGGAUCCGUGCCCCGCAGAAGUGCAGUCUUGGUGCCCAAAUGUGCGCCCGCUGGGGCAGAGGAGAAUCCGCGGGGCCUGAAGCAGAAUCGCGCCCUCCCCCCAACCUGCCGGCUGCCCGGGCGCUCCCCAUGGGCCCAGACGCAGGAGACAAAGGAGAACAUGGGGGUUCAGGUAUGCACUGGGGCGCAGACAGGGCCAGGCAAGACAAGAGGGCAGGGCUGCCGGGAAGGACGAGUGCCUCGGGAGCCUCUCUGCAGGUGAGACACAGGUUGAAGCAUUGACUGAUUUGUUCUCUCGCAGUGAGGCAGGAGAGGAGGGAAUAAUUGGGGUGACCCAGGGUUGAGGCGUGAGCAAGAGAACAGCAAAGGCAGCUGGUUCUGGGUAACACUGGGCCUCACUCCUAUGGUAACAAGACAGUUUCCACUUCAGCCUCUGAUUGGCUGUGAGCCAGUCCUUCAUAAGGAGUCACCAGUUGGAGGCCUCUAAAGGGCACCUGGGGUGUUACCAAAUUCUCCUGGCUUCCUAAAAACCCUGGGGAGCACUGCCAUAGAGGCUCUGGGGCCGCCUGCUCCGCCCGCUGCCUCUCUGUGAAUUGCACCUUGUGGUCUUCAAUGAAUCUGUGCUUUCGUCACUCCGUUUUUUGCUUGUCUUGUCUUUCGUUACUUCAUUCUUUUGUUGCUUUCUUUGUGCGUGUUCAAUUCUUUGUUCUGCACACAAGAACCUAAACAACUCACAGUCGAGACCUUCCAACCAGUAACACCAGCGGCCCCUCCCCUGGGAAGCCUCCAGAGGACGGGAGGCUGCCUGUAAAAGCUGAAGAGUCCUGAGUCUUCUGCGUGAUUCCAGAGACUCCUGGGAUGCCCUGGGGUGGGGGGCAGGGGAACGCUGGGGCACGGGUGGACCCAGGAAAGAGACGUGUAGAGCGCCUUGCCCCACCACCCUCCUCCCAGGCCAUGUCAUCUGCCACCCAGGCCAGGGCUACACCUCACCUGCCACUCAGGCCAUACCAUACCCUCACCUGUUGCCCAGGCCACACCCACAUCCUCACCUGUUGCCCCUCCUCCUUGCGGCCCAGGAGGUCUCUGAAGAUGCAGGCUCUACCUUCUGCCCGGCCCCCAGCCCUCCACCCGAGAAGUGGAUGUGAAGUCACUCUGUGCAUCUCCGCCCCUUUCCCACCCAUUGGCCCUUGCCCUGCUCAGGGUCCCACGCUCUUCCCUCCUCCUGCCCCUCGUGGCCCCUCCUGUCUGCCCUGGCCCCCCCACACAUCCAGGGGGCAGUUUGCUUCCUCCACUGACCUCCCCUCUCUGUGACAUUAUCUGUUUUUACAAACUUCAGGCAUCUAAGCCGGGCACAUUGGCCCAAGCCUGUAAUCCCAGCACUUUGGGAGGCCGAGGCAGGCGGAUCACUUAAGCUCAGGAGUUCGAAACCAGCCUGGCCAAGAUGGUGAAACCCCAUCUCUACUAAAAAUACAAAAGAUUAGCCGGCUGUGAUGACGCGCACCUGUAAUCUCAGCUACUCGGGAGGCUGAGGCACGAGAAUCGCUUGCACCCAGGAGGUGGAGGCUGCAGUGAGCCGAGAUCACGCCAGGGCACUCCGGCCUGGGCGACAGAGUGAGACUUCGUCUCAAGAAAAACCAAAAAUCCAAAAGAACUACAGGCAUCGGCUGUGUCCCCACUAGGAAGCCGGAGGGGAGCAGGGCUGGGUGUGUCUUCUCUGGCUGCGUCCCUGCGGCCACAAGGCCUGUUCUUCCUCUGUGCCCCGCCUGCCAAGGACCCAGCCUUGUGAAGGAUGGAUGAAUGAAUCAUUGAGCAAAUGAAUGAGUGUGUGAACAGGGAGAGUCUGCAGCAGGGAGACCCCGGCAGCUUCGAGUAUGGAGGGGAGACUCUGGCCGCCUGAGAGCUGGCUGCCAGGUGCUGAGCCGCCCCAAGAAAAAGCCCUCGUGGCAAGAAACUGAGGCCUCCAGCCAGCAGUCAGGGACCCGAGGCCUGAGACGGUGGAGGGUGAGCUUGCAAAGGGACCCCACAGUCGGGCCUUGAGAGGCCCACGGGCCUGGCCCACACCUCGGCUGCAGCCUUGUGAAGGUCCCUGAGCAGGGGACCCAGACUUCUGUCCUACAGAAACUUGGAGAUAAUAAAUGCCUGCUCUUCUACGGCACUGAGUGUCGGGUGAUUUGUUACGGGCAGUAGACAGCUAAUACCUGCCCCUUAGGACACCAAGUCCUCGCCUCCUGGAGGCCCAAGCCCCAGGGAGCCAUGCCUGACUUGCCGCCUGUCGAUGGGCCACGCGUUCCUUGUUGAUGCCAUUCUGGGGUCCCCUCACCCUGACAUACUAGGAGCCAGUUCCGAGGGAGGCUCUUCUGCCACCAACCCUGGCCCAGGGGGACACUGAGCUCCUUGAUGCUGAGGGCCGGUGGUUCCUUAUCGCCUGGCGACCAGCGUGUCCUCCGGGUCCUUUUCCAAUACCAGCACCUCCCAGCUCAAAAACACAACCCAGCACUCCUGUUCCUCCGUCUCCCGGCCCUCCCUCGACACUGGGCCGAGGCAGCCUGUGCACCUGCCCCAAGCUCCCAGGAGCUGACCCAGCAGCGGAUUCGGCCUGGUUCCCGGCAUCCUUACCGGGAUUUGGAAAAUGCUCCUUUCAAUCAAUAAAGGCCCCACGCGGGCCUUCUUCCGCCCUCCCCUCCAGCAUCCUCCAUCUCCAUUUCCACCCGUCCUCCCCGUCCUGCCAGGCCGCAGCUCCUUGCAGAAUAACCCACACCCUCCAGUCGCAGGGACAGAACACCCUAGUUACUGGCCUAGAAUUUUGCGGGGGACGAGGACAGGCAGACCCUAAGGAGGACACUCGCCUCAGGUGAGACCUUUGCAAGGUCCCGGCAGUGGGAGCCACUCCCGCCACUGCGGAGGGAACAGAGGGCAGGGAUCUAAGAGGCUUCUACCCAAAUACCGCAUCCAGGUCAUAGCGUCCCACCCCCCGCUGCCACCGGGGCCCUGACUUCAACACGGGAGGCAGACCAGACGCCACCGCCCUGGGAUCAGAGCUUGGGCCCGAGGGUUGGCCCCGUCUGCACUCUGGCUUUCGGAAUGAGGCUCGCUGUCAAUGCUGUGGUGGAGCUGCAUUCGUUUCCGGGGCUUCUAUAACAAGGUGCCAUAGAACAGGGCUCCAACAGCAGCCCAUUCUCCCACUGUCCUGGAGGCUGGAAGUUCGAGACCAAGGUGCCUGCAGAGUUGGUUCCUCCUGAGGCCUUUCUCCCUGGCUUGUAGAUGGCCCUCUUCUCCUGACUCCUCACACAGAGUCAUCCCUCUGUGUGUAUCUGUGUCCUAGUCUCUCUUCUUUUUCUUUUCGCUUCUUCUUUUUUUUUUUUUGAAGACAGGGUCUCUCUCUCUCUGUCACCCAGGCUGGAGUGCAGUGGUGUUAUCAUAGCUCACUGCAGCCUAGACCUCCCAGGCUCAGGUGAUGCUCCUACCUCAGCCUCCCAAGUAGCUGGGACCACAGACAUGUGUCACCACACCCGACUAAUUUUUUAUAUUUUGUUGUAGAGAUGGGGUCUCACUAUGUUGCCCAGGCUCAACUGGCUUUAAGCCAUCCUCCCACCUCGACCUUCCAAAGUGUUGGGAUUACAGGUGUGAGCCACUGAGCCUGGCCCUUAUCUCUUUUUCUCAGGACACGACUCAGGCCGGGCGUGGUGGCUCAUGCCUAUAAUCCCAGCACAUUGGGAGGCCAAGACGGGCGGAUCACCUGAGGUCAGGAGUUCCAGACCAGCCUGGUCAGCAUGGUGAAACCCCGUCUCUACUAAAAAUAUAAAAAUUAGCCAGGUGUGGUGGCCAGCGCCUGUAAUCCCAGCUACUCGGGAGGCUGAGGCAGGAGAAUCGCUUGAACCCAGGAGGCGGAGGUUGCAGUGAGCCAAGAUCGCACCAUUGCACUCUAGCCUGGGUGACAGAGUGGGACUCCGUCUCAAAAAAUAAAAAAAGUGGGGGAUGGGGGUGGGGGUGGGGGUGGGCCAGGCGCGGUGGCUCACGCCUGUAAUCCCAUCACUUUGGGAGGCCGAGACGGGUGGAUCACCUGAGGUCAGAAGUUCGAGACCAGCCUGACCAACAUGGGGAAACUUCAUCUCUACUAAAAAAUACAAAAAUUAGCCGGGUGUGGUGGUGGGUGCCUGUAAUCCCAGGUGCUCAGGAGGCGAAGCAGAAGAAUCACUUGAACCCAAGAGGUGGAGGUUGCAGUGAGCCAAGCUCGUGACACUGCACUCCAGACUGGGUGACAGAGCAAGACUUCAUUUCAAAGGAAAAAAAAAACAAGGCCAGCGGUCAUGUGGGAACAGGACUCGCUGUAAUCCCCUCUUUAAAGGCCAUAUCUGUAAAUACAG
rnacentral:lncRNA from 10 species